GACGAACACUGGCGGCGUGCCUAAUACAUGCAAGUCGAACGAACCGCGACUAGGUGCUUGCACUUGGUCAAGGUGAGUGGCGAACGGGUGAGUAACACGUGGGUAACCUACCUCAUAGUGGGGGAUAACAGUCGGAAACGACUGCUAAUACCGCAUAGGACAUAGGAUCACAUGAUUCUGUGAGGAAAGGUGGCGCAAGCUAUCGCUAAGAGAUGGACCCGCGGUGCAUUAGCUAGUUGGUAGGGUAAAGGCCUACCAAGGCGAUGAUGCAUAGCCGACCUGAGAGGGUGAUCGGCCACAUUGGGACUGAGACACGGCCCAAACUCCUACGGGAGGCAGCAGUAGGGAAUCUUCCGCAAUGGACGCAAGUCUGACGGAGCAACGCCGCGUGAGUGAAGAAGGUCUUCGGAUCGUAAAGCUCUGUUGUUAGAGAAGAACAGCGCAUAGAGUAACUGUUAUGCGUGUGACGGUAUCUAACCAGAAAGCCACGGCUAACUACGUG
rnacentral:rRNA from 1 species